UCUUCUGUGGCGCAAUUGGCUAGCGCGUCUGACUGUUAACAGCAGUUUAUCAGGAGGUUGGAAGUUCGAGCCUUCCCGGAAGAG